UGGUGUGUUCCUGUGUUCCUACCCGGACGGACGAUGGUUUAUUCGACUCUGCUUUUUUCUUGUCAGUCGCCUGGCGUUUCUAACUGUGUGUGUGGUGUUCGUGUUCGUGUUCCAAUCUGAAGGGCAAUGACUCAAACUUUUUUGGAGGACCAAGUAGAUUCAGAGCAUAAAAACGGAUCCGACAUGAAGCCAUAACUAAGGUGACUGCUACAUGUUCUUGAUCACACCUUCUUGCUUCCUCUACCAGCAACUCAGCUUCUCUCUCUCUCCUCCAUGGUGCAUGUUGGCCAUGGAGGAUACACAAGGAGCCAAGUGAAGAGCCCAGAUGUUUGUUCUGUUGGCUGGUGGACUCGAGGUAGGAGGCUGCAAAGCCAAACUCAAAGGCCAAGGUGCAUGUUGGCCAUGGAGGAUACACAAGGAGCCAAGUGAAGAGCCCAGCUGUUUGUUCUGUUGGCUGGUGGACUCGAGGUAGGAGGCUGCAGAGCCAAACUCAAACGCCAAGGUGCAUGUUGGCCAUGGAGGAUACACAAGGAGCCAAGUGAAGAGCACUCAAAAAAAUUCAGCAUUUACUCUUCACUGGAGAGGUGAUAUUUCCAUGGAUGUUUGAUGAGAUUCAUGCCUUGAAGCCAUUCAAAGCUGCCGCUUAUCUCUUAGCCAGCCAAGAAGGAGGAUUUCGCCUCUCCAUUAUAUGAUUGUUGCUACAUUAAAAACUAACAAGGUGCAUGUUGGCCAUUGAAGACGCCCAAGGAGCCUAGUAAACACUGAAGAGCCCAGAUGCUUGUUCUGUUGACUGGUGGACUCGAGGAAGGAGGUUGCUUGCAGAGCAAACUCAAAGGCCAAGGUGACAAGAGGUUGAAGACGAGUGGAAAUUUCAAUCUAUGACAUUGUGGUGGGUGAUGUCAUACCUCUGAACAUUGGCAAUCAAGUUCCUGCAGAUGGAGUUUUAAUAUCUGGCCACUCUCUUGCCCCUUGAUGACUGGAGAGAGCACAAUCGUGUGGAGGCUAUCUGCUUGUGAGAAAAUGGGAUCUGCCACCAUUAUUUGCAGCGGUUAAUAAGGACUCUUGCAAAAAAAUGCCGCUAUCAUAAGUAAUGAUGUAGCUGCUAUUUCAUGUGGUGACAUUCCACUUACCGCUGUGCAGAUACUACACUGCUCUUUGGCUGUCUCAAGGAGUCUGUCAUUUGAUCACAGCUGAUAUGGGACCGGGCUCUUGGACUGCCACUAGAGCGGAGAUUGUAAACAUGGAGAGGUUACAUGUCCUCUAAUAGGUGAAACUUUGCAACUUCGGGGGGUUCUUAAGCUCUGUCUAAACCACCAUAGGAUUAUCCGGUUCUUUGGUGUU